rnacentral:tRNA from 1 species
GGGGUUGUGGCCCAGUGGUAGAGCACUCACCUAGCAUGUGCGGGGCCUUGGGUUCGAUCCUCAGCACCACA